rnacentral:rRNA from 1 species
GGUGGAUGCCUUGGCACUAAGAGCCGAUGAAAGACGUGAUAAGCUGCGAAAAGCUUCGGGGAGGAGCAAAUAUCCAUUGAUCCGGAGAUAUCUGAAUGGGGAAACCCGGCUGAGAAGCCCUCAGCCACUGUAUGGUGAAUCCAUAGCCAUACAGAGGGAACCCGGUGAACUGAAACAUCUAAGUAGCCGGAGGAAGAGAAAGAAACAUCGAUUCCGGAAGUAGCGGCGAGCGAACCCGGAAGAGCCCAAACCAGCGUGCGUGCAUGCUGGGGUUAAGGACUGCAUAAGUGAGCUGAUUCGUUAGUGGAACUGCCUGGGAAGGCGGGCCGGAGAGGGUGAAAGCCCCGUACAUGAAAGCGAUAGGCAGCGGCAGGAUCCAGAGUACCGCGAGACACGAGAAACCUUGCGGGAAGUCGGAGGGACCACCCUCCAAGGCUAAAUACUCCUUAGUGACCGAUAGCGCAUAGUACUGUGAAGGAAAGGUGAAAAGGACCCCGGGAGGGGAGUGAAAGAGAACCUGAAACCCUGUGUUUACAAACUGUGGGAGCACGUUAAGGUGCGACCGCGUACUUUUUGUAGAACGGUCCGGCGAGUUGCCGGUGCUGGCAAGGUUAAAUGGUACAGCCAUGGAGCCGAAGGGAAACCAAGUCUCAAAUGGGCGUAAAGUCAGCACAGGCAGACCCGAAACCGGGUGACCUAUCCAUGUCCAGGAUGAAGCGGAAGUAAAAUUCCGUGGAGGUCCGGAUCCACAUCCGUUGAAAAGGGUGGGAAUGAGGUGUGGAUAGGGGAGAAAUUCCAAUCGAACCCGGAGAUAGCUGGUUCUCCUCGAAAUAGCUUUAGGGCUAGCCCCGUAUUAGUUUAGCGGAGGUAGAGCACUGAAUUCCUAAGGGGGCGUCAAAGCUUACCAAGGGAUAUCAAACUCCGAAUGCCGCAUAAAUGAUGUACGGGAGUCAGACUGCACGAGAUAAGUUGGGCAGUCAAAAGGGAAAGAGCCCAGACCUACAGCUAAGGUCCCAAAGUGUGUGUUAAGUGGAAAAGGAUGUGGGAUUUCAGAGACAACUAGGAUGUUGGCUUAGAAGCAGCCACACAUUCAAAGAGUGCGUAAUAGCUCACUAGUCGAGAGGUCCUGCGCCGAAAAUGUCCGGGGCUGAAACACAACACCGAAGCUUAGGAAUGUAGAAAUACAUUGGUAGAGGAGCAUUCUUAAAGGAAUGAAGCAGUACCGGUAAGGAGCUGUGGACUUUUAAGAAGAGAGAAUGCCGGAAUGAGUAGCGAGAUGGAGGUGGGAAUCCUCCAGGCCGAAUAUCCAAGGUUUCCAGAGUAAAGCUGAUCUGCUCUGGGUAAGUCGGGGCCUAAGGUAAGGCUGAGAAGCGUAGCCGAUGGACAACAGGUUGAGAUUCCUGUACCGCGUAUCAUCAGAACUGUGGGGACACAGAAGGACAGCACAUCCCGGGAAUGGAAAGACCGGGGCAAGCAGGGUAGGAGUUAAGCUGGCAAAUCCGCUUGACGAUCCGAAGCUGUGAUGCGGAGCGAAUAUAAGUAGCGAAGUGUGUGAUUCCGGCUGUCAAGAAAAGCCGCUAUUGUGUGAUACGUGCCCGUACCGUAAACCGACACAGGUAGAUGAGGAGAGAAUCCUAAGGCCGGCGGGAGAAGCAUUGUUAAGGAACUCGGCAAAAUGACCCUGUAACUUCGGGAGAAAGGGUGCCUGGGAAACCAGGCCGCAGAGAAUAGGCUCAAGCAACUGUUUAGCAAAAACACAGGUCUAUGCAAAACCGUAAGGUGAGGUAUAUGGGCUGACGCCUGCCCGGUGCUGGAAGGUUAAGAGGAGGGGUUAGCGGAAACGCGAAGCUCUGAAUUGAAGCCCCAGUAAACGGCGGCCGUAACGAUAACGGUCCUAAGGUAGCGAAAUUCCUUGUCGGGUAAGUUCCGACCCGCACGAAAGGCGUAAUGAUUUGAGCGCUGUCUCGACAAUGCACCCGGUGAAAUUGAAAUACCAGUGAAGAUGCUGGUUACCCGCGCCAGGACGGAAAGACCCCAUGGAGCUUU